AACGAACGCUGGCGGCAUGCCUAACACAUGCAAGUCGAACGAGACCUUCGGGUCUAGUGGCGCACGGGUGCGUAACGCGUGGGAACCUGCCCUUAGGUUCGGAAUAACCCCCCGAAAGGGGUGCUAAUACCGGAUAAUGUCUUCGGACCAAAGAUUUAUCGCCUUUGGAUGGGCCCGCGUUGGAUUAGCUAGUUGGUAGGGUAAAAGCCUACCAAGGCGACGAUCCAUAGCUGGUCUGAGAGGAUGAUCAGCCACACUGGGACUGAGACACGGCCCAGACUCCUACGGGAGGCAGCAGUGGGGAAUAUUGGACAAUGGGCGAAAGCCUGAUCCAGCAAUGCCGCGUGAGUGAUGAAGGCCUUAGGGUUGUAAAGCUCUUUUACCCGGGAUGAUAAUGACAGUACCGGGAGAAUGAGCUCCGGCUAACUCCGUG
rnacentral:rRNA from 1 species